GAUGAACGCUGGCGGCGUGCCUAAUACAUGCAAGUCGAGCGAACGGACGAGAAGCUUGCUUCUCUGAUGUUAGCGGCGGACGGGUGAGUAACACGUGGAUAACCUACCUAUAAGACUGGGAUAACUUCGGGAAACCGGAGCUAAUACCGGAUAAUAUUUUGAACCGCAUGGUUCAAAAGUGAAAGACGUUCUUGCUGUCACUUCUAGAUGGAUCCGCGCUGCAUUAGCUAGUUGGUAAGGUAACGGCUUACCAAGGCAACGAUGCAUAGCCGACCUGAGAGGGGGAACGGCCACACUGGAAGUGAGAGACGGUCCAGAGUCCGAGGGGAGGCAGCAGUAGGGAAUCUUCCGAAAUGGGCGAAAGACUGAAGGAGCAACGCCGCGUGAGUGAUGAAGGUCUGCGGAUCGGAAAACUCUGUUAUGAGGGAAGAACAUAUGUGUAAGUAACUGUGCACAUCGUGACGGUACCUAAUCAGAAAGCCACGGCUAACUACGUG
rnacentral:rRNA from 1 species